AAGCACACAGACGCCCGGCGCAGAUUGCGGGAGCCGCCCGUGGUCAUCGCCCCUGAUGCGUUGCUGGCGGCCGCUCCACGCCAUGGAGGUUGCCACAAGUGUAGACUGUAGACGCGGUGGUGCCCUGUUAGGUAUGCGUUCAGCAGGCAACCUAGAUGUUCUUGUGCUCUAACACAGCGGGGCCGACACACAGGGCGACUCAGCGACGACGAGCUUGCUGAACACGAGCAUGGUCGAUAUUCAGGCUUCUACCGACACGGCCAGGAAGAAUUGGCAAUCUCUGAAUUGGAGUUUCUCAAUGAGGAAGGAUCACAGGAUGGCAUGUGGAGAGUACUCCUGGACACACUUGCAUAAGAGACUGGGUAGGUUUGUAUGCAAUGUCAUAUAAGAGAUUAUUAUAUUUGAAAAUUUUGUUUGUUAUUGGAAUUUGGUUCUUAUAAAAAAUAGAUAGAGUUCGAUGCUUCUCCAAAGUGCAUAUUCAGUAGUUUUUCACAAUGCAGUUCAGAUCAAGAGUUUUGGAGGCGCCUUCUUACAAAUAUUAGUUUUUUAUUAUUUUAAAUCAGGUCAUUCUUUGUCUUGAAUGGAAGUUAUCUUUGUGUUGCUCCUACAGAUACCAUUCAUGCAGGAUUAAGAGGUUUCAACUCGACAAAUUUCUAUUCUGUUGUCUUUUUACUUAUUCCUGCAUUUUUUAUCUUUUGAAUCGAAUAUGUCCUAAAUGGAAUAAAAUGAACACUAUAUGACCUUUUUAGAAGUCUCUCUAACAGUUCCUCUUGGAUUACCAUUUUCUCUGACUGCCUCUCCUGGACAUAUUUAUCAUUGUACUAAAGCAGAUGGUUGUGUCUAGGUCACAACGGCAAUGCAGACAACUUUGGUCAAGGAUGUCUGGCGGCGAGGCCAUCAAUGUAAGACCCUUGCGCGUGUCAUGGGCAUCUAGGAAGACAAAGAUUAAGAAAUCUAUAUGAAUUUGAUUUCAUCAUGGUCUAACUGUGAGGCUCAUUACUGUGCUUAUUCGCACAAGGUAACAUCAGUGCAGCCGAGCGCCUGGUUCUUUGCAUUUGCAAUGGGCAAAAAGUAAGACCAGUGCAGCCGAGUACCUGAUUCUCUGCAUUCGCACAAUAUUCAGUCUCAGCGAGUCAUUUUAGGCAAACAUGAUUCACACUGCAGGGGUGACUUAUUUAUAAGUUUAGCACAUUUCAUUUUCAGAAGCAACCGAUCCAGAUUCAGGCGAGCUAAACAAAUACAACAAGCACUAGACUGCUUGAAUUUUAUACAGCCUACUCUGAACUUCUCCAUAUCAGAUCACAAGCUCUGAAACAGUAAGCAAUAAUAGCAAAAGCCAGGAAUCGGCCACUGCCCAAAAAAAAGGAACUUAACUUUACAACGACAUCAGCUGGAGUAAAUCCAUCGACUCCAGUCACUAGAAAUAAUGUGUAUGGUAUCAUGGACCUAUGUGUUCUAUUUUCAGUAGCCUGUA